rnacentral:rRNA from 1 species
UACGUAGGGGGCUAGCGUUGUCCGGAAUCAUUGGGCGUAAAGCGCGCGUAGGCGGCCCUGUUAGUCCGCUGUGAAAGUCAAAGGCUCAACCUUUGAAUGCCGGUGGAUACUGCAGGGCUAGAGUCCGGAAGAGGCGAGUGGAAUUCCUGGUGUAGCGGUGGAAUGCGCAGAUAUCAGGAGGAACACCAACGGCGAAGGCAGCUCGCUGGGACGGUACUGACGCUAAGGCGCGAAAGCGUGGGGAGCGAACAGG